UACGUAGGGGGCAAGCGUUAUCCGGAUUUACUGGGUGUAAAGGGAGCGUAGACGGUAUGGCAAGUCUGAUGUGAAAACCCGGGGCUCAACCGUGGAAUUGCAGUUGAAACUGGAGGCCUUGAGUGCACACAGGGAUGCCGGAAUUCAUGGUGUAGCGGUGAAAUGCUUAGAUAUCAUGAAGAACUCCGAUCGCGAAGGCAAGUGUCCGGGGUGCAACUGACGCUGAGGCUCGAAAGUGCGGGUAUCAAACAGG
rnacentral:rRNA from 1 species